GAUGAACGCUGGCGGCGUGCCUAAUACAUGCAAGUCGAGCGAACGGACGAGAAGCUUGCUUCUCUGAUGUUAGCGGCGGACGGGUGAGUAACACGUGGAUAACCUACCUAUAAGACUGGGAUAACUUCGGGAAACCGGAGCUAAUACCGGAUAAUAUUUUGAACCGCAUGGUUCAAAAGUGAAAGACGGUCUUGCUGUCACUUAUAGAUGGAUCCGCGCUGCAUUAGCUAGUUGGUAAGGUAACGGCUUACCAAGGCAACGAUGCAUAGCCGACCUGAGAGGGUGAUCGGCCACACGGGAACUGAGACACGGUCCAGACUCCUACGGGAGGCAGCAGUAGGGAAUCUUCCGCAAUGGGCGAAAGCCUGACGGAGCAACGCCGCGUGAGUGAUGAAGGUCUUCGGAUCGUAAAACUCGGUUAUUAGGGAAGAACAUAUGUGUAAGUAACUGUGCACAUCUUGACGGUAACUAAUCAGAAAGCCACGGCUAACUACGUG
rnacentral:rRNA from 1 species